UACGUAGGGAGCAAGCGUUGUCCGGAAUCAUUGGGCGUAAAGCGCGUGUAGGCGGCCCGAUAAGUCCGCUGUGAAAGUCCAGGGCUCAACCCUGGGAUGCCGGUGGAUACUGUCGGGCUAGAGUGCGGAAGAGGCGAGUGGAAUUCCUGGUGUAGCGGUGAAAUGCGCAGAUAUCAGGAGGAACACCGAUUGCGAAGGCAGCUCGCUGGGACGUAACUGACGCUGAGACGCGAAAGCGUGGGGAGCAAACAGG
rnacentral:rRNA from 1 species